UACGAAGGGGGCGAGCGUUGUUCGGAUUUACUGGGCGUAAAGGGCGCGUAGGCGGCUCUGCACGUCCGUUGUGAAAUCGCCCGGCUCAACUGGGCGGGGUCAGCGGAUACGGCAGAGCUUGAGCAAGCUAGGGGGCAAUGGAAUUCCCGGUGUAGUGGUGGAAUGCGUAGAUAUCGGGAGGAACACCAGUGGCGAAGGCGGUUGCCUGGGGCUUUGCUGACGCUGAUGCGCGAAAGCGUGGGGAGCGAUCCGG
rnacentral:rRNA from 1 species